UAGCUCAGUUGGUAAAGAAUCCACCUGCAAUGUGGAAGACCAGGGUUCAAUCCCUG
rnacentral:tRNA from 1 species